rnacentral:rRNA from 1 species
CCCGAAUGGGGAAACCCAGUGUGAUUCGUCACACUAUCAUUAACUGAAUCCAUAGGUUAAUGAGGCGAACCGGGGGAACUGAAACAUCUAAGUACCCCGAGGAAAAGAAAUCAACCGAGAUUCCCCCAGUAGCGGCGAGCGAACGGGGAGGAGCCCAGAGCCUGAAUCAGCAUGUGUGUUAGUGGAAGCGUCUGGAAAGGCGCGCGAUACAGGGUGACAGCCCCGUACACAAAAGCGCAUGUGCUGUGAGCUCGAUGAGUAGGGCGGGACACGUGGUAUCCUGUCUGAAUAUGGGGGGACCAUCCUCCAAGGCUAAAUACUCCUGACUGACCGAUAGUGAACCAGUACCGUGAGGGAAAGGCGAAAAGAACCCCGGCGAGGGGAGUGAAAAAGAACCUGAAACCGUGUACGUACAAGCAGUGGGAGNNNNNNNNNNNNNNNNNNNNNNNNNNNNNNNNNNNNNNNNNNNNNNNNNNGGGCGUUAAGUUGCAGGGUAUAGACCCGAAACCCGGUGAUCUAGCCAUGGGCAGGUUGAAGGUUGGGUAACACUAACUGGAGGACCGAACCGACUAAUGUUGAAAAAUUAGCGGAUGACCUGUGGCUGGGGGUGAAAGGCCAAUCAAACCGGGAGAUAGCUGGUUCUCCCCGAAAGCUAUUUAGGUAGCGCCUCGUGAAUUCAUCUCCGGGGGUAGAGCACUGUUUCGGCUAGGGGGCCAUCCCGGCUUACCAACCCGAUGCAAACUGCGAAUACCGGAGAAUGUUAUCACGGGAGACACACGGCGGGUGCUAACGUCCGUCGUGAAGAGGGAAACAACCCAGACCGCCAGCUAAGGUCCCAAAGUCAUGGUUAAGUGGGAAACGAUGUGGGAAGGCCCAGACAGCCAGGAUGUUGGCUUAGAAGCAGCCAUCAUUUAAAGAAAGCGUAAUAGCUCACUGGUCGAGUCGGCCUGCGCGGAAGAUGUAACGGGGCUAAACCAUGCACCGAAGCUGCGGCAGCGANNNNNNNNNNNNNNNNUGCUGGAGGUAUCAGAAGUGCGAAUGCUGACAUAAGUAACGAUAAAGCGGGUGAAAAGCCCGCUCGCCGGAAGACCAAGGGUUCCUGUCCAACGUUAAUCGGGGCAGGGUGAGUCGACCCCUAAGGCGAGGCCGAAAGGCGUAGUCGAUGGGAAACGGGUUAAUAUUCCCGUACUUGGUGUUACUGCGAAGGGGGGACGGAGAAGGCUAUGUUGGCCGGGCGACGGUUGUCCCGGUUUAAGCGUGUAGGUGUGUGUUCCAGGUAAAUCCGGUUCACUUUAACACUGAGGCGUGACGACGAGGCACUACGGUGCUGAAGCAACAAAUGCCCUGCUUCCAGGAAAAGCCUCUAAGCAUCAGGUAACACGAAAUCGUACCCCAAACCGACACAGGUGGUCAGGUAGAGAAUACCAAGGCGCUUGAGAGAACUCGGGUGAAGGAACUAGGCAAAAUGGUGCCGUAACUUCGGGAGAAGGCACGCUGACACGUAGGUGAAGUGAUUUACUCAUGGAGCUGAAGUCAGUCGAAGAUACCAGCUGGCUGCAACUGUUUAUUAAAAACACAGCACUGUGCAAACACGAAAGUGGACGUAUACGGUGUGACGCCUGCCCGGUGCCGGAAGGUUAAUUGAUGGGGUCAGCGCAAGCGAAGCUCCUGAUCGAAGCCCCGGUAAACGGCGGCCGUAACUAUAACGGUCCUAAGGUAGCGAAAUUCCUUGUCGGGUAAGUUCCGACCUGCACGAAUGGCGUAAUGAUGGCCAGGCUGUCUCCACCCGAGACUCAGUGAAAUUGAACUCGCUGUGAAGAUGCAGUGUACCCGCGGCAAGACGGAAAGACCCCGUGAACCUUUACUAUAGCUUGACACUGAACAUUGAGCCUUGAUGUGUAGGAUAGGUGGGAGGCUUUGAAGUGUGGACGCCAGUCUGCAUGGAGCCGACCUUGAAAUACCACCCUUUAAUGUUUGAUGUUCUAACGUGGACCCGUAAUCCGGGUUGCGGACAGUGUCUGGUGGGUAGUUUGACUGGGGCGGUCUCCUCCUAAAGAGUAACGGAGGAGCACGAAGGUUGGCUAAUCCUGGUCGGACAUCAGGAGGUUAGUGCAAUGGCAUAAGCCAGCUUGACUGCGAGCGUGACGGCGCGAGCAGGUGCGAAAGCAGGUCAUAGUGAUCCGGUGGUUCUGAAUGGAAGGGCCAUCGCUCAACGGAUAAAAGGUACUCCGGGGAUAACAGGCUGAUACCGCCCAAGAGUUCAUAUCGACGGCGGUGUUUGGCACCUCGAUGUCGGCUCAUCACAUCCUGGGGCUGAAGUAGGUCCCAAGGGUAUGGCUGUUCGCCAUUUAAAGUGGUACGCGAGCUGGGUUUAGAACGUCGUGAGACAGUUCGGUCCCUAUCUGCCGUGGGCGCUGGAGAACUGAGGGGGGCUGCUCCUAGUACGAGAGGACCGGAGUGGACGCAUCACUGGUGUUCGGGUUGUCAUGCCAAUGGCACUGCCCGGUAGCUAAAUGCGGAAGAGAUAAGUGCUGAAAGCAUCUAAGCACGAAACUUGCCCCGAGAUGAGUUCUCCCUGAGACUU